UAUUCCAAAAAAUCAACACCUGUGUAGAUGGCUCUGAUUGUCUAAACUUCAAGAAAUUUACAUACUUAAUGACGUCAUAAGUACACGUCAAACACGUGCACGAUGCCGUUAAAUAAAUGUGGAUGUCAAACAAAACUAACCUCAGAGAUAAUUGUUCGCUCAUUUUCUUUCAUAAUGUAACUCCAGCCAUUUUUACAAGCGGCGAGCGGUAUGAAGUCGCUUAGAUUUUGACCAAUAUCAAGCUUACAAUGAUGUUUUGUCUUUGCGCCGUAAAAUAUCAUAGAAAAAUGUGUUGAUAACAUUAUCAUAAAGUUGAAGCUUAUCAAUACGAAAAUAAAGCUUUGAAAUCUG